GGGGCGGCGCCGGAGGUGGAGAGCCGGGCCCGGUUGUAACCCGGGUGCCACAUGCUGAGUGAGUUCGAAUCCCACCCGCCCCA
rnacentral:tRNA from 1 species